rnacentral:misc_RNA from 1 species
UAAAAGACGAAGAUAAGUAAAGAUGUUUUGUAGCUAUGAUUAAGCGAGCUUGAGUUGAUGGAAGUCAGGCCAUAGUAAAAACGGCGCGUACUAAGAGUCCAAAGUUAAUAAAUUUGAGUGGCGAAAGCUAUUAGAGUGGUACCGCGGGCUAGGCUCGUCUCUUUG